UACGAAGGGGGCUAGCGUUGUUCGGAAUUACUGGGCGUAAAGGGCGCGUAGGCGGCCGUUUGCGUCGGAUGUGAAAGCCCGGGGCUCAACCUCGGAACGGCAUUCGAUACGGGACGGCUAGAGACCGGGAGAGGAGAGUGGAAUAGCCAGUGUAGAGGUGAAAUUCGUAGAUAUUGGCUGGAACACCGGUGGCGAAAGCGGCUCUCUGGCCCGGUUCUGACGCUGAGGCGCGAAAGCGUGGGGAGCAAACAGG
rnacentral:rRNA from 1 species